rnacentral:rRNA from 1 species
GACGAACGCUGGCGGCGUGCUUAACACAUGCAAGUCGAACGAAGUGGCGAACGGGUGAGUAACGCGUAAUCAACCUGCCCUUCAGCGGGGGACACCAGUUGGAACCGACUGCUAAUCCCGCAUACUGAAGAAGGGGAUUGAGUCUGAUUAGCUAGUUGUAGGGGUAACGGCCCACCAAGGAGAGGGUCAGUAGCCGGUCUGAGAGGAUGAAUGGCCACACUGGGACGGAAGCACGGCCCAGACUCCUUCGGGAGGCAGCCGGGGGGAAUCUUCCGCAAAGGACGAAAGUCUGACGGAGCAACGCCGCGGGAGUGAUGACGGCCUUCGGGUUGGAAAGGUCUUUUAAUCGGGACGCGGUACCGGAAUAGAAAGCCACGGCUAACUACGUGCCAGCAGCCGCGGUAAUAC